rnacentral:siRNA from 1 species
GUAGAUGCCGGUGAUAGAUGA